rnacentral:rRNA from 1 species
GACAGAGGUGCCAAGCGUUAGGCGGAAUCACUGGGCUUAAAGCGUGUGUAGGCGGAGUGCUAAGUACCUUGUGAAAUCCCACGGCUUACCCGUGGAACGGCUGGGUAUACUGGUUGUCUUGAGCCACUUAGGGGCUACCGGAACAAAUGGUGGAGCGGUGAAAUGCGUAGAUAUCAUUUGGAACGCCAAUGGUGAAAACAGGUAGCUGGGAGUGUGCUGACGCUGAGACACGAAAGCCAGGGGAGCGAACGGG